UACGGAGGGUGCGAGCGUUAUUCGGAAUUACUGGGCGUAAAGCGCGUGUAGGCGGGGGAGCAAGUCUGAUGUGAAAGCCCCGGGCUUAACCCGGGAAGUGCAUUGGAAACUGUUUGUCUUGAGUACUGGAGAGGAAGGGGGAAUUCCCGGUGUAGAGGUGAAAUUCGUAGAGAUCGGGAGGAAUACCAGUGGCGAAGGCGCCCUUCUGGACGGUUACUGACGCUGAGACGCGAAAGCGUGGGGAGCAAACAGG
rnacentral:rRNA from 1 species